rnacentral:rRNA from 1 species
UACGUAGGGUGCGAGCGUUGUCCGGAAUUAUUGGGCGUAAAGAGCUCGUAGGCGGUGUGUCACGUCGGCCGUGAAAACCUGGGGCUUAACUCUGGGCGUGCGGUCGAUACGGGCAUCACUAGAGUUCGGCAGGGGAGACUGGAAUUCCUGGUGUAGCGGUGAAAUGCGCAGAUAUCAGGAGGAACACCGGUGGCGAAGGCGGCGACCUGGUCCGAGACUGACGCUGAGGCGCGAAAGCGUGGGGAGCAAACAGG